rnacentral:rRNA from 1 species
UACGAGAUGUGCGAGCGUUGUUCGGAAUUACUGGGCAUAAAGGGUGCGUAGGCGGCUUAUUAAGUCAGUUGUGAAAUCCCACGGCUCAACCGUGGAACUGCUUCUGAUACUGGUAGGCUUGAGGACGAAAGGGGCAAACGGAAUUCCAGGUGUAGCGGUGGAAUGCGUAGAUAUCUGGGAGAACGCCAAAAGCGAAGGCAGCUUGCUGGGUCGUUUCUGACGCUGAGGCACGAAAGCUAGGGGAGCAAACAGGAUUAGAUACCCUGGUAGUCCUAGCCGUAAACGAUGGGCACUAGGCUUUGGGAGGACUGAUCCUCUCGGAGCCCGAGCUAAUGCAUUAAGUGCCCCGCCUGGGGAGUAUGGUCGCAAGGCUAAA